rnacentral:tRNA from 1 species
GCCCGAGUGGCGAAAUGGCAGACGCAGCAGACUCAAAAUCUGCCGAGGUUAACCCUCAUGUCGGUUCGAGUCCGACCUCGGGCACCA